GAUGAAGAACGCAGCGAAAUGCGAUAAGUAGUGUGAAUUGCAGAAUUCAGUGAAUCAUCGAAUCUUUGAACGCACAUUGCGCCCCUCGGUAUUCCGUGGGGCAUGCCUGUUCGAGCGUCAUUUAACCCCUCAAGCCUAGCUUGGUAUUGGGUGCUUGUCCCGCCUCUCGCGCGGCGACUCACCUCAAAGUCAUCGGCAGCCCGCAUCUCGCCGGCCGUGAGCGCAGCACAGACGCGCACUUGGCAACGACGGAUCGGCUCUCCAAAAGCUUAUUUCAACCACUGACCUCGGAUCAGGUAGGGAUACCCGCUGAACUUAAGCAUAUCAAUAAGCGGAGGA
rnacentral:misc_RNA from 1 species